UCGAGGAUCAUUUGCAAUGGGCGAAAGCCUGACAAUGCGACGCUGCGUGGAGGAUGACGGCCUUCGGGUUGUAAACUCCUGUCAUGAGGGAAAAGGCUCCCGCCGGCUAAUACCCGGCGGGGUUGAUGGUACCUCAAGAGGAAGCGACGGCUAACUCUGUGCCAGCAGCCGCGGUAAUACAGAGGUCGCGAGCGUUGUUCGGAUUUACUGGGCGUAAAGGGCGCGUAGGCCGCCGAUCAUGUCGCGUGUGAAAGCUCCGGGCUCAACCCGGAAAGUGCGCGCGAAACUGGUUGGCUCGAGUACGGGAUAGGGAAUCGGAAUGCUGGGUGUAGCGGUGAAAUGCGUUGAUAUCCAGCAGAACACCGGAGGCGAAGGCGGAUUCCUGGAACGUUACUGACGC
rnacentral:rRNA from 1 species